CGGACGGGUGAGUAAUGUCUGGGAAACUGCCCGAUGGAGGGGAUAACUACUGGAAACGGUAGCUAAUACCGCAUAACGUCGCAAGACCAAAGAGGGGGACCUUCGGGCCUCUUGCCAUCGGAUGUGCCCAGAUGGGAUUAGCUAGUAGGUGGGGUAACGGCUCACCUAGGCGACGAUCCCUAGCUGGUCUGAGAGGAUGACCAGCCACACUGGAACUGAGACACGGUCCAG
rnacentral:rRNA from 1 species